CACUAGGACUUGGGCUAGGACUCGGACUAGGCUUGAACACCGGUGGUGGAGGGCGCACUGGAGGUAGUGGACUAGCGAGUCGAAAAGUCGGUGGAGGAGGUCUAGGUGGCCUUAGUGGCUUGACCGGGGGAAACACAGGUGGAGGAGGUCUACUAGGAGGAGCUAAGCGGAAUAUCGGUGGAGGUGGCCUCAUAGGAGGCUGCGGUUUGACAGUUAGCAUCUGAGCUACUUCCCACCAAAGCUAUAGGCCUUAGCCCCUCCCUCCAGACGGGGAUCCCAGACCCGUUCCCUAUGGUCAGGGACUGACCUUAAGGGAGGGUGGUGUGAGGUUUGGAGGUGGGCAGACUCCUCCCCUUUAAGUUGACCAACAUGUCCUUUUGAAAAAGGAGAAAAAAACCCAGACUUGGGCGGGGAACGGGGCUUAAGAGGUGGAGGAAGAAAAGUAGGUAGCUCAUGUUGCCUUAGUUUGCAUCUAGAAAUAACAUCUGUAUAGAACUUAGUUGUGUCUAUAGAGUCCAAAAAAUCAUAGUCAAUAUUUGAAACAGGUUGAGAAUAAGACUCAACAAUAUAAAAAUCCUCAGAAAAAAUAUCAUCGACAGGGGGUGGUAUUGAGUCACCAGGGGGCGUUGACGAAAUGACGUCACCGUGAUGGACCGGUGGGCCGGAGGUAUGCCCUGGCCUUACAGCCCAGUCGGAAGAGUGGUUGGAAUAUGGAGAAAAAACAAAACUUCCAAACCUCAGGGAAGAGUACUGGGCUGUUGUCUGCGCGCUGCUGUCCGGGGAAAAAGUCUUCGCGGCUUGGCGAAGGGAAGACUUUUGGUGGUCCACUGCGAGGCGGCGUUGUGCUGGCUGUUUUCUGACACGAUGGCGAGGCAUAAUGGAUGCGUGUUGCUACCCCAGGGAUGCAAGAGGACCAGGACAGGCAGGAGUUGCAGGUAAGAUUAGAUUUAAUACAAAAACAAAAAUAAUACUGGUACAAAAUGCAAAGAAAAGGCGUGCCGAAUGCACGGAGAGCUAUGCUAAUAAUUAGCAACGAGAGCAGAGUACAGGAAUAGAGGUGCAGAGCGCACGCAAAGCUAAGGCGAGACUUAGCAAUA